GACAGAGGGUGCAAACGUUGUUCGGAAUUACUGGCGUAAAGCGUGUGUAGGCGGUGAGGUAAGUCGGAUGUGAAAGCCCAGGGCUCAACCCUGGAAGUGCACUCGAUACUGCUUCGCUUGAGUACUGGAGAGGUCGGUGGAAUUCUCGGUGUAGAGGUGAAAUUCGUAGAUAUCGAGAGGGAACGUCUGUGGCGAAGGCGGCCGACUGGACAGAUACUGACGCUGAGGAGCGAAAGCGUGGGGAGCGAACAGGAUAGAA
rnacentral:rRNA from 1 species